rnacentral:rRNA from 1 species
AACGAACGCUGGCGGCAUGCCUAACACAUGCAAGUCGAACGAGCCCUUCGGGUCUAUUGGCGCACGGGUGCGUAACGCGUGGGAACCUGCCCUUAGGUUCGGAAUAACUCCCCGAAAGGGGUGCUAAUACCGGAUAAUGUCUUCGGACCAAAGAUUUAUCGCCUUUGGAUGGGCCCGCGUUGGAUUAGCUAGUUGGUAGGGUAAAAGCCUACCAAGGCGACGAUCCAUAGCUGGUCUGAGAGGAUGAUCAGCCACACUGGGACUGAGACACGGCCCAGACUCCUACGGGAGGCAGCAGUGGGGAAUAUUGGACAAUGGGCGAAAGCCUGAUCCAGCAAUGCCGCGUGAGUGAUGAAGGCCUUAGGGUUGUAAAGCUCUUUUACCCGGGAUGAUAAUGACAGUACCGGGAGAAUAAGCUCCGGCUAACUCCGUG